GCCAGGGUGGUAGAGAGGUUUGAGCGCUGGACUACAACUCUGGAGACCAGGAUUCGAAUCCCCACUCAGCCA